UGUUACACUGUUCGCUAAGAUCGCUACCAGCAAUAUCACCAUGACCACCUGGUUUACAUGAUCACCAAAGUGGGCAUUUUCACCAAAAGCCACUUUGACAGCUACUGACAGUCACCGGUCCCUUCUCUUAGUCACAACUUUCCUCGCUUCAGCUGUAAAUAUGCACUUUGGUAAUUGUGAAUUAUCCAGAGUAAGGGGCAAAGGUAACAAAAACAAACUCUUGCCCCUGCCUGCCAUCUUGAUCGGCCUCUGCUGUCCAAUAUAAUCAAGAGGUGUCCUUUCCCAUUUUCCUGAAUGCCACCCACAAAGACAGGUUCACUGUCAAGCGGGCACUUCGAGAGUCUGCUGGAAUUACCUCUCUGGCUCAUCCUGCUUCCCACCCUUGGGGCCCUUCACCAGAGCCAGAUUGGAAGCCUGGCGUUUCAUGCCCAUGUGAGCGUGCCAUCCGUGAGGAGAACCUGCCUAGUUAACUCAAGGCCCCACAAAGUGCCGCUGUGUUUGCUGAGUGCCCUGGGUGAGGCCCCAGGGAUGCUUCCCGGACUACCUGAGAGGUUCUACAAAGACUUUGCUCAGCCAAGCCAAGGCCAGAGGCCAGGUCACAGUUGUGGGAAGACCUGCCUGUGUCUGUAUCCCUGGGGCUCCUCUAAACCUGCCGGUUUGUGAGAUGAUUUCAUGGUUUCUUUUACAUGUAUCAAAUGUCUACCCUACAAAGAACUGGAUGGAGUUAACAGCUGAGCAAAGAUUAGAGAGGAACCUACUUUCAUUUGGGAAAAACAGGACCAUACCAUGUGUACAAGACAGAAAUUUCUACAGAUGCUUUAUGAAAGAAAAAAUAUCUUACCAAAGUUACUACUGCACAUUCAGCAGUUAGCAGUGCGGCACUAAAAAGAGUACGAACAAAUCUGUAAAUGAAUUCGUGUUCAGGAUCAUG